CGACGCCGCGUGAAGGACGAAGGCUUUCGGGUUGUAAACUUCUUUGGGGAGGGACGAAAUUGACGGUACCUCCAGAACAAGCCUCGGCUAACUACGUGCCAGCAGCCGCGGUAAUACGUAGGUGGCGAGCGUUAUCCGGAAUUAUUGGGCGUAAAGGGUGCGUAGGCGGUUAUUUAAGUUUAAGGUUAAAGUUCAGGGCUCAACCUUGUGAUGCCUUAGAAACUGGAUAGCUAGAGUACUGGAGAGGUUAGUGGAAUUCCAUGUGUAGCGGUAAAAUGCGUAGAUAUAUGGAGGAACUCCUGUGGCGAAGGCGGCUAACUGGCUCUGUAACUGACGCUCUGGCUACGAAAGCGUGGGGAGAAAAUAGGAUUAGAUACCUUAGUAGUCCACGCCCGUAAACGAUGAAUAUAAAGUGUUGGGGUAAAACUCAGUGCUGCAGUUAACGCAAUAAGUAUUCCGCCUGGGGAGUAUGCGCGCAAGCGUAAAACUCAAAGGAAUUGACGGGGGCCCGCACAAGCGGUGGAGUAUGUGGUUUAAUUCGAGGCAACGCGAAGAACCUUACCAGGUCUUGACAUGGAGCUAAAGGCCCUAGAGAUAGGGAGAUAGUUAUAGCUCACACAGGUGGUGCAUGGUUGUCGUCAGCUCGUGUCGUGAGAUGUUGGGUUAAGUCCCGCAACGAGCGCAACCCUUGUCGUUAGUUACCAUCAUUUAGUUGGGGACUCUAGCGAGACUGCCGGUGACAAACCGGAGGAAGGUGGGGAUGACGUCAAAUCAUCAUGCCCCUUAUGACCUGGGCUACACACGUACUACAAUGGCGAGUACAACGGGAAGCGAUGUGGUGACACAAAGCGGAUCUCUUAAAACUCGUCUCAGUUCGGAUCGAAGUCUGCAACUCGACUUCGUGAAGUCGGAAUCGCUAGUAACCGCGGAUCAGCAUGCCGCGGUGAAUACGUUCUCGGGCCUUGUACACACCGCCCGUCA
rnacentral:rRNA from 1 species